GCCUACUUGGUCUAGUAGCAUGAUACCUCAUUCGGGUUUAAAUACCAGCUUGCUUGGCAAGUGUGCAUUGAGGUGGUCGGCGGUUCAAUUCCGCCAGUGGGCC
rnacentral:tRNA from 1 species